GGGCGGAGCCGUCUUGGCUUGUGUGACGUCUGCUCAGAGAGCCAGUCCCAGCUGCCUUGCUUGCUGCGCAUGCGCGCAUGUAUCCGGGCGUGCCGCGGUGCCGCUGCUUUCGGGACUCGGGUGUUUGCAGAGCAGGUGGGGACAGGAACGGGGUGGGGCUUGGCGUUAGUGUUUCCGCUAGAGUUUAGUCUUUGUGUAGGCUUCAUGGUGGGAGAAUUUCCUCCCGCGACAGUAGUAGCAGCGUUUUAGACUGGAAGAAAGCCCAUAAAUUGCCUUUCGGAUCCUAGCCAUCCAGAGGCAUCUUUUAAGAAGUUUCUCUCGGAAUGGGGCCUUCCCAAUCCUGUUAGAGCGCAAUGCCAUACUUUUAGAAGAUGUCAGUACUGUGGAAUGAGAUGGCCAACCAUCAUAUGUAUGCUGCAACUCAGAGAUACAGCUGUGAAUUCUCAGAAAACGGUACUGAUGGCCCUGUCGUCCAAUGCAUCCAGUGUCUGAUUUUCAUCUUGGCCAGCUAAGAGCUAUAGAGAAAAUCCCUUCUGGGAGCACCAUGAUCCCCAGGGAGCACUAUGAUACCUGGAGGCAGUAGAGGUAAGCUGGUAAGUUUGUCAAACCUACUUCAGGGACACUCCAUGUGGUCCUGGGCUGAGAUAUUUUUGAAGCUGGUGCAAGCAGCAGUGGGGAAAUGGGGGCCUAGUGGUAUGGUGGUCAUUCCAGAAAUGUAACCCCUCAGAAACGUGCUACCCAGCCUCUUAUAAGAAGGGUAAAACAAAUAAAGCUGCUGCCUAUUUGGAACAUACGCUGGCUCCUUCCACAUCUGCAGGACAUUUAGCUCCUUGCAUCUGGUAAUGUUUGUGCAAAUAUAAUUCCAUAUUCACUAAUAAUUCCUGGGGCUAAAGGCCCCCCCUCGGGUAACCUUGUUAAUAUUCUCUCAAGGCCUGGUGUGAACGCCUCAUAGCAUUUUGAUUAGAAUUCAAUCUUGUGUUUUUUUCCCUCUCUGUCUCUUUCUCCCUCUCUCCUCUCAUGCUUUUCUGGCCCCCGGUUUCCUGGCCACCCACAUCAGGAGACAUUCUCCCUCCCUUCCACUCUCCAUUCUCAGUUUCAAGGAAUUUCCUUGUGUCAAAGGCAAAGUGUGAUUGACAUAUUUUCCCCCUCUUAAGAGCAGUCAUCUCGGUGUUUGAUUUAACCAUCUCCUUAUGGGGCUCGUACAAUCAUUACCUGGGUGAAAAAGAGACCUCCUGCUCACCCUCACGCUCAGACCCACGUAGCUCAGUAUUUUUGUAGACUUUUAAAUUGCUGCUCUCCUUCCUCUUUUUUUCUACCCUUUUCUUUCUUUUUGGUUGGCACUACCAAAUGACUCCCUGGUGUGUUGUACCCUGAGCUGUAAGGGUUUUAGUUAUCCGCCAACAGGUAGACCAGCUGCCUCCUGCCAGUGCCCUCAGCCUGCCAAGAAAAGCAUUUGUUGCUCUUUAGAUCUGGGGGAAAGAAUGGAGAUAGAAUGAACUGUCUAGUUUUGAAUUCACCGCCUUUAGGCAGGUUGUUUUCCUUUGGUGCCUUAGUCUUACUUGACCGGCUUAUUUGUCACUCAGGAGAAGAAAACAGAAAACAGAAACAAAAGCAAAUUAGCCAUAGCAUGAAGAAUUGUAUUUAAACCCAAGAGGGAUUUCUUGGCAGUGAAGUUCUUAAUGUUGGAGUGAUUCUGGAAUGUAGGCCCCCUCUCUCAGGCUGCCUUAUCAUUGAAUUACUGUGGGUUCUAAGGGUUUCUGCCUGAAGGGGCUGAACUAGAUGAACUUGGAAGGUCACUUGCAGCUUUUCAGUUCAGCAGGAAUCCCCAUCUUUUCUGUGAAGGGCCACACUUCUCACAGUAUUAGAGCAGAUUCUGUCCUAAGGGGAUUGCUCAUGUCUCUCUAGAGUAGCUUGAAUCAUAUCUCCUGCCACUGAUUGUGAUAAGCUGCCUACUCAGAGCUCCCAGUUGCAGGCAACUCUGUUGCCUCACAAUAAUUGCAUUCUUCAGUAACCUCCUGUGCCCCAAUCCCAUUUUUUCAGAAGGAAACAAAGUGCUAGAAGAUAGAGCCUUGCAUUGGCAAUAACAAAGUUGAUGUUUUUUUUCCCCCUGCAGGAAUUUGAGUGAUGCAGUUUUAAUAAAAUAGAAAGCUGUCUGUA